UAAUUGAAAGUUAAAAGUACAAAUGGUAUC
rnacentral:piRNA from 1 species